rnacentral:rRNA from 1 species
AACUAACGCUGGCGGCGUGCCUAACACAUGCAAGUCGUACGAGAAAGUUGGCUUCGGCCGAUGAGUAAAGUGGCGCACGGGUGAGUAACGCGUGGAUAAUCUACCCCUCAGUUGGGAAUAACUCAUCGAAAGGUGGGCUAAUACCGAAUAAUACUGCAUGACUUCUGUUGUGUAGUCAAAGAUGGCCUCUGCUUGCAAGCUAUCGCUGAAGGAUGAGUCCGCGUACCAUUAGCUAGUUGGUAGGGUAAUGGCCUACCAAGGCAACGAUGGUUAGCUGGUCUGAGAGGAUGAUCAGCCACACUGGAACUGAGACACGGUCCAGACUCCUACGGGAGCAGCAGUGA